rnacentral:rRNA from 1 species
UACGUAGGGUGCAAGCGUUGUCCGGAAUUAUUGGGCGUAAAGAGCUCGUAGGCGGUUUGUCGCGUCGAAUGUGAAAACCCGGGGCUCAACCCCGGGCCUGCAUUCGAUACGGGCAGACUGGAGUACUGCAGGGGAGACUGGAAUUCCUGGUGUAGCGGUGGAAUGCGCAGAUAUCAGGAGGAACACCGGUGGCGAAGGCGGGUCUCUGGGCAGUAACUGACGCUGAGGAGCGAAAGCGUGGGGAGCGAACAGG